rnacentral:rRNA from 1 species
GACGUAGGGCGCGAGCGUUGUCCGGAUUUAUUGGGCGUAAAGAGCUCGUAGGCGGCUUGUCGCGUCGUUCGUGAAAACCCGGGGCUCAACUCCGGGCUUGCGGGCGAUACGGGCAGGCUAGAGUUCGGUAGGGGAGACUGGAAUUCCUGGUGUAGCGGUGAAAUGCGCAGAUAUCAGGAGGAACACCGGUGGCGAAGGCGGUUCUCUGGGCAUGUCCUGACGCUGAGGAGCGAAAGUGUGGGGAGCGAACAGG